rnacentral:rRNA from 1 species
AUGUCAAAAGUAUGCCCUGGGUCUAUAUGGAACGAGGAUAUUCUCCUAUGGCAUCAAAAAAUCCUAGAUGAUAUUCCGGUUUACAACAGGGAACUAUCUGGUUAUCUUGUUCCCCUGUUCAUGUCCACAUGGGAAAAUGAAAGAGCACAUUUGCCAAUUUUAAAGGAUGGAUAUGAACGCACAAAAAUUAUUUUGGGCCAACUGCUAACAUUCAAAAGCAAUGAAAGUGAAGAUAACAUGUCUGCCGGUGUACUUGAAUUCAUCAGUUGUAUCAGGAAAAUCCAAUGUAAAACUGGACUUGCGUGCUAUUUCUGA